rnacentral:rRNA from 1 species
AAGUUAAGCCCGACAGCGCCGAUGGUACUGCGACCGGGAGGUCGUGGGAGAGUAGGACGCCGCCGGAC